rnacentral:rRNA from 1 species
UACGUAGGUCCCGAGCGUUGUCCGGAUUUAUUGGGCGUAAAGCGAGCGCAGGUGGUUUAAUAAGUCUGAUGUAAAAGGCAGUGGCUCAACCAUUGUGUGCAUUGGAAACUGUUAGACUUGAGUGCAGUAGAGGAGGGCGGAAUUCCCGGUGUAGCGGUGAAAUGCGUAGAUAUCGGGAGGAAGGCCGGUGGCGAAGGCGGCUCUCUGGACUGUAACUGACACUGAGGCUCGAAAGCGUGGGUAGCAAACAGG